UACGUAGGGGGCAAGCGUUGUCCGGAUUCAUUGGGCGUAAAGAGCGUGUAGGCGGCCAGGUAGGUCGGUUGUGAAAACUGGAGGCUCAACCUUCAGAGGUCGACCGGAAACCAUCUGGACUAGAGUCCGGGAGAGGGAUGCAGAAUUCCAGGUGUAGCGGUGAAAUGCGUAGAUAUCUGGAGGAACACCGGUGGCGAAGGCGGGUCUCUGGGCCGAUACUGACGCUGAGGAGCGAAAGCGUGGGGAGCGAACAGG
rnacentral:rRNA from 1 species